AACGUAGGAGACAAACGUUAUCCGGAGUUACUGGGCGUAAAGGGCGUGCAGGUGGUCUGUUAAGUCUGGCGUGAAAGCUCCUGGCUAAACCGGGAGAGGUCGUUGGAUACUGGCGGACUAGAGGACGGUAGAGGCGUGUGGAAUUCCGGGUGUAGUGGUGAAAUGCGUAGAGAUCCGGAGGAACACCAGUGGCGAAGGCGACACGCUGGGCCGUACCUGACGCUGAGGAGCGAAAGCGUGGGUAGCGAACAGG
rnacentral:rRNA from 1 species